rnacentral:lncRNA from 1 species
UAUAAGACGAAAGAAAUGCUACUUGUCCUGUUCUAGUUCACCUUUAGAAAAAAGAACUCAUUGACAUUACACCCUAGUAACGUUGCACACGGUCAAAAG